AAGAAGUUCAAGGCUUAAAGAAAAUAGAUAAACAGUAGUGAUGUUAAUCAAAACACAAAUAAAAUUAUCAAUCUAGUGGGAGCAGAGGUGUUUAAAUAUUUAUGCAGUAUGUUCUCCCCUCACCUUCCCAGCCUUGUAGUACCUAUGGCCCUGCUGAUGUAACAACGUGAUGGUGGAAUGCUUAGGAUAACUCAUGGCUCCUAACAGCCUCCAGCAGCCACAACAUGAGCUGCAGCUAGCUGAAGUUGAAUCUGGAGGCAGUGCACAAACAGUUCAGGCACUACUUAACCUUGCAGGUCCCCAAGAAAUGUAGGCUCCACUCAUCACCAGGAGGCUGCUGGUGAUCAGAGGCAGGGGAGAGGCUGACAGUGAGAACACAACUCGACCUGGGUCCAGCCACUGCAGAGAAGUCAUAUGGCAGUGCCUCAGAUGAAAAACAAACACUGUGCAGGCUGAUUCACCAGGACUCACCAGAUCAUGGUCUGAGAAGUCACCCAUCAGUUUACUUCCCACCAAGUCAUGCAAUCUGCUAACCCCUCUCUUCAGGGGUAUAUUUAAAAAACACUCCUGAAUGAGUAGUUGUCUUGAAGUUUUGCUUUUAAAUUUUGGCAAAUGCUACACAGGAAAUCUAUUUCCACCACAUUGUACUCAGUGGUUUUAUAAAGACUGGUAUGUGUGUUGACAUCAUGUUACCAAAUAAUGAAGACCAACAGUGCAUGAGCACUGAAAUAUUUGACUCAGGCUUGUAGCUGGUACCAGCAAGCACCAGCUUCUUUGCUGUUCAGACAGUUUCACCAGAUUUGCCAGCACUAGUUUCUUUGUGAAAGAGGAUCU